rnacentral:rRNA from 1 species
UACGGGGGGGGCAAGCGUUGUUCGGAAUUACUGGGCGUAAAGGGCUCGUAGGUGGCCAAUUAAGUCAGACGUGAAAUCCCCAGGCUCAACCUGGGAACUGCGUCUGAUACUGGUUGGCUUGAAUUCGGGAGAGGGAUGCAGAAUUCCAGGUGUAGCGGUGAAAUGCGUAGAUAUCUGGAGGAAUACCGGUGGCGAAGGCGGCAUCCUGGACCGGCAUUGACGCUGAGGAGCGAAAGCUAGGGGAGCAAACGGG